UGGGGAAUUUUGCACAAUGGGCGCAAGCCUGAUGCAGCGACGCCGCGUGAGGGAUGAAGGCCUUCGGGUUGUAAACCUUUUUCGCUCAUGGUCAAGCCGCAGCUUUGGGUUGUGGUGAGGGUAGUGGGUAAAGAAGCGCCGGCUAACUACGUGCCAGCAGCCGCGGUAAUACGUAGGGCGCGAGCGUUGUCCGGAAUUAUUGGGCGUAAAGGGCUUGUAGGCGGUUGGCCGCGUCUGCCGUGAAAUCCUCUGGCUUAACUGGGGGCGUGCGGUGGGUACGGGUUGACUUGAGUGCGGUAGGGGAGACUGGAAUUCCUGGUGUAGCGGUGGAAUGCGCAGAUAUCAGGAGGAACACCGGUGGCGAAGGCGGCUCUCUGGUCUGUAACUGACGCUGAGGCUCGAAAGCGUGGGGAGCGAACAGG
rnacentral:rRNA from 1 species